rnacentral:sRNA from 1 species
CCUUACUGCUGAGGCUAAGAAGAGGAUCUUUUCUACUUUACUCCAUUUAGGGUUUUUCUUUAUAUCUGUGUAGAUUGUGGCUUUUUGUUUUUUCUUUUUAAUUUUAUUUUAAAACAGGAAGAACAGUUAUCUGAUAUUAAAAAUCAAGGAAGCAAUAUUUGUAUUGGUCACAAUAGGCUCAGACUAAAAGAAUUAUGCUGGCCCAGUCAUAUAUGCACAGUUAGACCACUCCGGCGGACAUCAUAGUGACAAGAUUAACAAGUCAGAGUCUGUGGUGUAUGCGGAUAUCCGAAAGAAUUAAGAGAAUACCUAGAACAUAUCCUCAGCAAGAAACAAAACCAAACUGGACUCUUGUGCAGAAAAUGUAGCCCAUUACCACAUGUAGCCUUGGAGACCCAGGCAAGGACAAGUACAUGUGUACUCACAGAGGGAGAGAAAGAUGUGUACAAAGGAUAUGUAUAAAUAUUCUAUUUAGUCUUCCUGAUGUGAGGAGCCAGUGUUGCAUGAUGAAAAGAUGGUAUGAUUCUACAUAUG